rnacentral:rRNA from 1 species
GGCUCUUCGGAGCUAGUGGCGGACGGGUGAGUAACGCGUGAGAAUCUGGCUUCAGGUUCGGGACAACAGUUGGAAACGGCUGCUAAUACCGGAUGUGCCUAAGGGUGAAAGAUUUAUCACCUGAAGAUGAGCUCGCGUCUGAUUAGCUAGUAGGUGUGGUAAGAGCGCACCUAGGCGACGAUCAGUAGCUGGUCUGAGAGGAUGAUCAGCCACACUGGGACUGAGACACGGCCCAGACUCCUACGGGAGGCAGCAGUGGGGAAUUUUCCGCAAUGGGCGAAAGCCUGACGGAGCAAUACCGCGUGAGGGAGGAAGGCUCUUGGGUUGUAAACCUCUUUUCUCAGGGAAGAAUGAUGACGGUACCUGAGGAAUAAGCAUCGGCUAACUCCGUGCCAGCAGCCGCGGUAAUACGGAGGAUGCAAGCGUUAUCCGGAAUGAUUGGGCGUAAAGCGUCCGCAGGUGGCAAUGUAAGUCUGCUGUCAAAGCGUCUGGCUCAACCAGAUAAAGGCAGUGGAAACUACAUAGCUAGAGUAAGGUAGGGGUAGAGGGAAUUCCUGGUGUAGCGGUGAAAUGCGUAGAGAUCAGGAAGAACACCGGUGGCGAAAGCGCUCUGCUGGACCUUAACUGACACUGAGGGACGAAAGCUAGGGGAGCGAAUGGGAUUAGAUACCCCAGU